AAUGUGUCCUCUUCUCUCCCUAAGCUCAAUCUCUCCAUGCCCAAAGUAUUCCUCUCCUCCCCCCUCUUCUCUGUCUUCAUCAGCUUUCACCGAGCAAAAGCUCUCAAUGCUGGCUCUCAUGGUGGUGAAACAGGCUGAUGGACUUCUAGUCGGUCGAAUUGGUGCUUUCUUUUUGCUAUGAUUACGUUGAGCUAUCAUGUGAUUUCGUGUUGAAACAUCUUUCAAUAAUUCAAAAAUAGACGUAAGGGAGAAAGGAGAUGUGAAUUUUUUGUAUAGGCAAAUAUACUUCAUUUGAUAGAGAACAUUUGUAGAAGAGAGAAUGUAGUUUGGAAGACGUGGGAUUGCGUAUUGCUACCCGAGUAUGAAGUUCAAAAAAGGGAAGAUAAAGUGAGAGAGAGAGAGAGAGAGAGAGAGAGACGUUCACAAGGAAAAGAAAAAAUUAUUGUGUUUGUACUGGGUUAUAUCAAUUAUAAUAGUUUUUGCUUGAUUCAGAUGAAUUGUAACAUGCCAUUGUAAAUAGCUGGGUAUGAUCUAUAUAGUUCUUGUAUGGAUCAACUGUAAUAGUACUCUCCCUAUGCUUUCUGUUUGCACUUGGACAGUAAUUAACUUAUAAUGUUUUGGUUAUGAUGUACAAAAUGGGGUAUCCAUAUGUAUGAUAUCCAUAUGUGCAAGAAAAUGCUGGUUGUGAAAUUAACCUGCCAGUAUGGAAUAUGUAUAUUAAUUUGUUU